UACGUAGGGGGGCUAGCGUUGUCCGGAUUUAUUGGGCGUAAAGAGCGUGUAGGCGGCCAGGUAGGUCUGCUGUGAAAACUCGAGGCUCAACCUCGAGAUGUCGGCGGAAACCAUCUGGCUAGAGUCCGGAAGAGGAGAGUGGAAUUCCCUGGUGUAGCGGUGAAAUGCGCAGAUAUCAGGAGGAACACCUAUUGCGAAGGCAGCUCGCUGGGACGUAACUGACGCUGAGACGCGAAAGCGUGGGGAGCAAACAGG
rnacentral:rRNA from 1 species